AAGUCGGGGCAACUCGGCGAGUAAACCGGCGCACGGGUGAGUAACCCGUGGAUAACCUGCCUCGAAGUCCGGGAUAACCCGUCGAAAGACGGACUAAUACCAGAUAAGACCACGAAGAGUUCGCUCUUCGGGGCAAAAGGUGGCCUCUGCUCCUGCAAGCUAUCACUUCGAGAGGGGUCCGCGCCCUAUCAGCUAGUUGGUGAGGUAAUGGCUCACCAAGGCAGAGACGGGUAGCUGGUCUGAGAGGAUGGUCAGCCACACUGGGACUGAGACACGGCCCAGAGUCCUACGGGAUGCAGCAGUCAGGAAUAUUGCGCAAUGGAGGAAACUCUGACGCAGCGACGCCGCGUGGGUGAUGAAGGCCUUCGGG
rnacentral:rRNA from 1 species